rnacentral:rRNA from 1 species
UACGAAGGGGGCUAGCGUUGUUCGGAAUUACUGGGCGUAAAGCGCACGUAGGCGGACAUUUAAGUCAGGGGUGAAAUCCCGGGGCUCAACCUCGGAACUGCCUUUGAUACUGGGUGUCUAGAGUAUGGAAGAGGUAAGUGGAAUUGCGAGUGUAGAGGUGAAAUUCGUAGAUAUUCGGAAGAACACCAGUGGCGAAGGCGGCUCACUGGCCCGGUACUGACGCUGAAAUACGAAAGCGUGGGGAGCGAACAGG